UGUGAGAAGGUGAAGGCCUUUCCAGGGUCCCCAACCUUGGCUCUGCCCCCUUCACCCC
rnacentral:miRNA from 1 species